rnacentral:rRNA from 1 species
UACGUAGGGUGCAAGCGUUGUCCGGAAUUAUUGGGCGUAAAGAGCUCGUAGGCGGCUUGUCGCGUCGGCUGUGAAAACCUGGGGCUCAACCCCGGGCCCUGCAGCCGAUACGGGCAAGCUAGAGUUCGGUAGGGGAGACGUGGAAUUCCUGGUGUAGCGGUGAAAUGCGCAGAUAUCAGGAGGAACACCGGUGGCGAAGGCGGGUCUCUGGGCCGAAACUGACGCUGAGGAGCGAAAGCGUGGGGAGCGAACAGG